rnacentral:rRNA from 1 species
AACGUAGGAGACAAACGUUAUCCGGAGUUACUGGGCGUAAAGGGCGUGUAGGUGGUUUCGUAAGUCUGGCGUGAAAUUUUUCGGCUUAACCGGGAAAGGUCGUCGGAUACUGCGGAGCUAGAGGACGGUAGAGGCGUGUGGAAUUCCGGGUGUAGUGGUGAAAUGCGUAGAGAUCCGGAGGAACACCAGUGGCGAAGGCGGCUUGCCAGAACGCGCUCGACGGUGAGGGAUGAAAGCUGGGGGAGCAAACCGG